rnacentral:rRNA from 1 species
AGAGUUUGAUCCUGGCUCAGAACGAACGCUGGCGGCAGGCCUAACACAUGCAAGUCGAACGUGAAGCCACCUUCGGGUGGUGGAAAGUGGCAGACGGGUGAGUAACGCGUGGGAACGUGCCCUUCGGUUCGGGAUAACCCAGGGAAACUUGGGCUAAUACCGGAUACGCCCUUCGGGGGAAAAAUUUAUUGCCGAAGGAUCGGCCCGCGUCGGAUUAGCUUGUUGGUGGGGUAAAAGCCUACCAAGGCGACGAUCCGUAGCUGGUCUGAGAGGAUGAUCAGCCACACUGGGACUGAGACACGGCCCAGACUCCUACGGGAGGCAGCAGUGGGGAAUAUUGGACAAUGGGCGCAAGCCUGAUCCAGCCAUGCCGCGUGGGUGAAGAAGGCCUUAGGGCUGUAAAUCCCUUUCAGCGGGGAAGAUAAUGACGGUACCCGCAGAAGAAGCCCCGGCUAACUCCGUGCCAGCAGCCGCGGUAAUACGGAGGGGGCUAGCGUUGUUCGGAAUUACUGGGCGUAAAGCGCGCGUAGGCGGACCUGCAAGUCGGGAGUGAAAGCCCGAGGCUCAACCUCGGAACUGCCUUCGAUACUGCGGGUCUUGAGUCCGGGAGAGGUGAGUGGAAUUCCUAGUGUAGAGGUGAAAUUCGUAGAUAUUAGGAAGAACACCAGUGGCGAAGGCGGCUCACUGGCCCGGUACUGA